GGGAAACCGAGUCUUAACCGGGCGUUAAGUUGCAGGGUAUAGACCCGAAACCCGGUGAUCUAGCCAUGGGCAGGUUGAAGGUUGGGUAACACUAACUGGAGGACCGAACCGACUAAUGUUGAAAAAUUAGCGGAUGACCUGUGGCUGGGGGUGAAAGGCCAAUCAAACCGGGAGAUAGCUGGUUCUCCCCGAAAGCUAUUUAGGUAGCGCCUCGUGAAUUCAUCUCCGGGGGUAGAGCACUGUUUCGGCUAGGGGGCCAUCCCGGCUUACCAACCCGAUGCAAACUGCGAAUACCGGAGAAUGUUAUCACGGGAGACACACGGCGGGUGCUAACGUCCGUCGUGAAGAGGGAAACAACCCAGACCGCCAGCUAAGGUCCCAAAGUCAUGGUUAAGUGGGAAACGAUGUGGGAAGGCCCAGACAGCCAGGAUGUUGGCUUAGAAGCAGCCAUCAUUUAAAGAAAGCGUAAUAGCUCACUGGUCGAGUCGGCCUGCGCGGAAGAUGUAACGGGGCUAAACCAUGCACCGAAGCUGCGGCAGCGACACUCAGGUGUUGUUGGGUAGGGGAGCGUUCUGUAAGCCUGUGAAGGUGGCCUGUGAGGGUUGCUGGAGGUAUCAGAAGUGCGAAUGCUGACAUAAGUAACGAUAAAGCGGGUGAAAAGCCCGCUCGCCGGAAGACCAAGGGUUCCUGUCCAACGUUAAUCGGGGCAGGGUGAGUCGACCCCUAAGGCGAGGCCGAAAGGCGUAGUCGAUGGGAAACGGGUUAAUAUUCCCGUACUUGGUGUUACUGCGAAGGGGGGACGGAGAAGGCUAUGUUGGCCGGGCGACGGUU
rnacentral:rRNA from 1 species